rnacentral:lncRNA from 1 species
GCCGAGAACUAAAUGAUAUUCAACAGUAAUAGCAUUUUGAAGUACGAAAGCAUUUUGCCACAACUUUCACCCAUUCUUUCAUCUAUCAAGGAAUGCACUCAUGGCGUGAAUACUAAAGUGGCUGCUGCUUCUUGCUGAGAUCGUGCGAGUCAGUCCACAACUCUUCCAUUUUUUCUGAAAAUAUUCUUGCAAAGCCAACUUGGUUUGCAUG